rnacentral:rRNA from 1 species
GAACCUUACCUGGGCUCGAAAUGUACAGGAAUCCGGUGGAAACAUCGGCGCCCCGCAAGGGGCCUGUAUAUAGGUGCUGCAUGGCUGUCGUCAGCUCGUGUCGUGAGAUGUUGGGUUAAGUCCCGCAACGAGCGCAACCCUUAUUACCAGUUGCUACCAUUUAGUUGAGCACUCUGGUGAGACUGCCUCGGAUAACGGGGAGGAAGGCGGGGAUGACGUCAAGUCCUCAUGGCCUUUAUGUCCAGGGCUACACACGUGCUACAAUGGCCGGUACAAACCGUCGCAAACCCGUGAGGGGGAGCUAAUCGGAAAAAGCCGGCCUCAGUUCGGAUUGGAGUCUGCAACUCGACUCCAUGAAGCUGGAAUCGCUAGUAAUCGCAGAUCAGAACGCUGCGGUGAAUACGUUCCCGGGCCUUGUCACACCGA